CAUUCGAGGAGUCGACAUUCUCAUUUUGAAGAAAAAUGCCGUGCUCUUCGCUAUAUUCCCAGACAUGAUGGGGAAUGGGUUCCUGGGAGAGUGAAGGAAACACUCCAUCUGUGGAAGAAAAAUACUGAGCUCUUCGUCAUGUUCCCAGACGCGACGGGAAAUGGGUUCCUGACAAGUGAAGGAACACUCCAUCUGUGGAAGAAAAAUGCCGAGUUCUUCGCCAUAUUCCCAGACGAGACGGGGAAUGAGUUCCUGGGCGAGUGAAGGAACACUCCAUCUGUGGAGUGUGAAAACGAAUAGGAUCCUAAUACCGACAGCAGCUCCAACUGAAGCAAUUGAAGCUAGGUCGGUAUUCUUAUAAAAAAAUAAGAAAUGACUUCCUUCAUUUUUCUAGGUGUCACCUUAGUUCCGCUUGCAGAAAGACUUAUCUCAAAUCGUAGGAGAAUCUGUUUUACUAAAUUC
rnacentral:lncRNA from 1 species